GAUGAACGCUGGCGGCGUGCCUAAUACAUGCAAGUCGAGCGAACGGACGAGAAGCUUGCUUCUCUGAUGUUAGCGGCGGACGGGUGAGUAACACGUGGAUAACCUACCUAUAAGACUGGGAUAACUUCGGGAAACCGGAGCUAAUACCGGAUAAUAUUUUGAACCGCAUGGUUCAAAAGUGAAAGACGGUCUUGCUGUCACUUAUAGAUGGAUCCGCGCUGCAUUAGCUAGUUGGUAAGGUAACGGCUUACCAAGGCAACGAUGCAUAGCCGACCUGAGAGGGUGAUCGGCCACACUGGAACUGAGACACCGUCCUGACUCCUACGGGAGGCAGCAUUAGGGAAUCUUCCGCAAUGGGCGGAAGCCUGACGGAGCAACGCCGCGUGAGUGAUGAAGGUCUUCGGAUCGUAAAACUCUGUUAUUAGGGAAGAACAUAUGUGUAAGUAACUGUGCACAUCUUGACGGUACCUAAUCAGAAAGCCACGGCUAACUACGUG
rnacentral:rRNA from 1 species